GUCAAAUUUUAAAGCGAAGACCAUAAAUAUGGGUGUGACUAUUGAAGUGUAUCGCGCCAGGAUUGGUUCACAUCACAAUUUUACAGAUUGUCGCAACAGUCUGUGUCGUCUUAAAGACUUUCAAAUGAUGUGGAGGAAAAUCCAGGUCCUAGGACUAUAAAUGAUAUAGUUGACCCUGCUUGUACAAUCCAUGCUGAUUUUAAUCAAGGUAAUGACUUAAUGUUUGGUGUGAAUGCUGGUAAGCAGUGUGUUGCCAUGUCACUAUAUGCAAUUGUUUACAAAGAAAUUAAAUCAGUCAAUAUUUGGGACAA